GUUAGUAUAGCUUAAAUUUAAAGCGUAGCACUGAAGAUGCUAAAAUAAACUAUUGUUUUACUGACA
rnacentral:tRNA from 1 species